rnacentral:rRNA from 1 species
UACGGGGGGGGGGCAAGCGUUGUUCGGAAUUACUGGGCGUAAAGGGUCUCGAGUGACGAUGCCACUAAGUCAGACGUGAAAUCCCUCGGCUUAACCGGGGAACUGCGUCUGAUACUGGAUGGCUUGAGUUCGGGAGAGGGAUGCGGAAUUCCAGGUGUAGCGGUGAAAUGCGUAGAUAUCUGGAGGAACACCGGUGGCGAAGGCGGCAUCCUGGACCGACACUGACACUGAGGAGCGAAAGCCAGGGGAGCAAACGGG